UACGUAGGGUGCGAGCGUUGUCCGGAAUUAUUGGGCGUAAAGAGCUCGUAGGCGGUGUGUCACGUCGGCCGUGAAAACCUGCAGCUUAACUGUGGGCGUGCGGUCGAUACGGGCAUCACUGGAGUUCGGCAGGGGGAGACUGGAAUUCCUGGUGUAGCGGUGAAAUGCGCAGAUAUCAGGAGGAACACCGGUGGCGAAGGCGGGUCUCUGGGCAACAACUGACGCUGAGGAGCGAAAGCGUGGGGGAGCGAACAGG
rnacentral:rRNA from 1 species